GUUUUUUCUGCUUGCAGAAAAAAACUGCGCUUUGGUGUUCCGCCUCCACAUGAGGAAGUAGCAAUUUUUCUGAAAGAAAAAUUCGCGGAUUCCGAAUGUGGGGAGAAUUGCGAAAGUUGCGAAGCAACGCAGCAAUUCGUAU
rnacentral:sRNA from 1 species